AUUGAACGCUGGCGGCAGGCCUAACACAUGCAAGUCGAGCGGAUGAGUGGAGCUUGCUCCAUGAUUCAGCGGCGGACGGGUGAGUAAUGCCUAGGAAUCUGCCUGGUAGUGGGGGACAACGUUUCGAAAGGAACGCUAAUACCGCAUACGUCCUACGGGAGAAAGCAGGGGACCUUCGGGCCUUGCGCUAUCAGAUGAGCCUAGGUCGGAUUAGCUAGUAGGUGAGGUAAUGGCUCACCUAGGCGACGAUCCGUAACUGGUCUGAGAGGAUGAUCAGUCACACUGGAACUGAGACACGGUCCAGACUCCUACGGGAGGCAGCAGUGGGGAAUAUUGGACAAUGGGCGAAAGCCGGAUCCAGCCAUGCCGCGUGUGUGAAGAAGGUCUUCGGAUUGUAAAGCACUUUAAGAUGGGAGGAAGGGCAGUAAGUUAAUACCUUGCUGUUUUGACGUUACCAACAGAAUAAGCACCGGCUAACUUCGUGCCAGCCGCCGCCGUAAGAC
rnacentral:rRNA from 1 species